AUCGCUUCUCGGCCUGUUGGCUAAGAUCAAAAUGUUGUAUCUGUUCUUAUCAGCUUAAUAUCUGAUACGCCGCACAUUGUGUGGCCAGUAUAUUAAACUGAUUUUAGGAAAUAGAUGGAGUGAUAGGGGGGUUUGCACCACCUCCAUCACGGGUCGACCUGGCAUUGCAGUACAGUCGGGACCACUCAUCCGCA